AACAAAUAUGUCUUUUAAAAAUAUUUUUACUGACGUUGCUCCUGAGGAUGAUUAAAUGUAUUGAUCGAAACCGGUAGAGCUGAAAAUUAAAAAAAUCCAUCUAUAAAUA